AAAAAAACAAACCUUGAGUUUCCAUGUCUAACGUUUGACUGUCCGUCUUAUAUGAAUUUUUUUUAUAAUUAGUAUUUUCAUUAUUGUUAGAUAAUAAAAUAUGAUUAAUACUUUAUGCGUGACUUAUCUUUUUAAUUUUUUUUAUAAUUUUUUUAAAUAAGACGGACGGUCAAACGUUGUACACGGAAACCCAUGUUUGGUUUUUUU
rfam:Oryza rufipogon genomic scaffold, chr10